rnacentral:lncRNA from 1 species
UUUUUCUGAGUCUGCGGUCAGGAGCUGCAGAGGAAAUCCUGUGAAAUCACACCGCAAAGCCGACAAAACCAGCUGGUGCUAAUUAAAUCCUGCUCACCCGGUUCAGCACUGAAGAGAACUGCGGGGCUGCGACCCACACCUUGACCCACUCCUUGCUGCAGGUCACACGUAGGGCACGGGGCAGCACCAGGGGCUCUCAGCACCACGCCAGGAGCUGGAGAUCCCCCUGGGGCUGCACCGUGCCUGUGUCCCCACUGCCCGGCCAAGGAAAGUUCCACAUCCGCAGGGUUUUGCCCCAUUUGCGCUUUCCCUGCCUUUUCUUAAGGCCACGAAGUGCAUUCCGAUCAGAACGUGAAAGAAACACACAGCCACACAUUGAAUGCUGCUUUAAUGGAGAAAUAAGAUAAAAAGAUGUCAGUUUAAAUUCAAAUAUAUCAAGAAAUGCUCAGCUAUCCGCAUUCAAACACAGGAGCUGUGCAACAGCUUCCCUCCAAUUCUUUUACACUACAUGAAAAAAGAACAAUUAUUUUGGCAGAACAACUCAGCACCUUUUCCAAUUCCUGCAAUUAAUCAUUUCUGAUACAUUCAGGCUUCUUUUUCAACUCAUCUCACACCCUGAGAACCGGUGCCUGCCAGGUUCAUACCCUUUGUAAAUAUAUAUGAACAACCGUACACAAAUCCUGGUAUUUUGGCAAGAAAUACGUGGUUAAAGGUAUGGAGAAUGCUUGCUUAUUGUUUGUCUGGUGCCUUUGGUCUGGAAAGAAUGAAUCAAACAUCCGUAACUGUUCCAGUUCUGCUUGCUUUGUAGUAAAACCAAGAAUUGUAACACAGCUUAACAGCUUUCUUAAACUUGCUCCAGAAAUUAAGAAAACCUGCUCCAAAAAUUAACGCCGAGACUCGAGGAUUUUGGGCCCUGGAGGGCAGGUUGUGACCAAGGAGCUCCUCAGCUUUGACAUACAGCCCAGAAAAUGUUACCAGUGAAAUCUCACACUGCAGGGUUUAAGCACGUUAUUAGCAGGGAGCCCCCAUCCCCCAAAUCACCUUCGUUACAGAUUUUUUCAUUUUUUAUCCCAGACUUACACAUCAGUAGCCAGCCUCUGUCAUUCCUGAUGGGGAUACAACCUCCUACAGAAAGGAACUUCUGAUUUACUCCACAUGGCUUCUUGGUAGAUUUUUCCUUAGAACCCACAACAACUUGACUACAAAUAGAACAAGGUCCCUGAAAGAACACUGAAAUAUUAACAAUUGCAUUAAACAACCAAAGGGAAGUGGUGUGGAGGAGCACCCUAGAAUCCAACAGCUGGGAGAGGGGUGUCUAAAACUGCUCCUUCGGCUCACUGAUUUUCCUCCUUUUUGGCAGCACGUCUUGACUGGAAGAGGGUUCGGGCUGCAGGGAGAAACCAGGCACAGGGUUACAGGUCGUGGUGCUGCAUGGGCUGCUCCUCGCUGCCACCACAUCUAACCAGAAGAAAAUCCACCCCAAACCUGGCUGUGCA